UACGGAGGGUGCGAGCGUUAUCCGGAUUUACUGGGUUUAAAGGGUGUGUAGGCGGGCUGGUAAGUCAGGGGUGAAAUCCCGGAGCUCAACUCCGGAACUGCCUUUGAUACUACUGGUCUUGAAUAUUGUUGAGGUGGGCGGAAUGUGUCAUGUAGCGGUGAAAUGCAUAGAUAUGACACAGAACAUCGAUUGCGAAGGCAGCUCACUGGGCAAUGAUUGACGCUGAGGCACGAAAGCGUGGGGAUCAAACAGG
rnacentral:rRNA from 1 species